AUUGAACGCUGGCGGCAUGCCUUACACAUGCAAGUCGAACGGUAACAGGUCUUCGGAUGCUGACGAGUGGCGAACGGGUGAGUAAUACAUCGGAACGUGCCUAGUAGUGGGGGAUAACUACUCGAAAGAGUGGCUAAUACCGCCUGAGAUCUACGGAUGAAAGCAGGGGAUCGCAAGACCUUGUGCUACUAGAGCGGCCGAUGGCAGCGUAGGUAGGUGGUGGGAUAAAAGCUUACCAAGCCGACGAUCUGUAGCUGGUCUGAGAGGACGAUCAGCCACACUGGGACUGCGACGCGGCCCAGACUCCUACGGGAGGCAGCAGUGGGGAAUUUUGGACAAUGGGCGCAAGCCUGAUCCAGCAAUGCCGCGUGCAGGAUGAAGGCCUUCGGGUUGUAAACUGCUUUUGUACGGAACGAAAAGCCCUGGGUUAAUACCCUGGGGUCAUGACGGUACCGUAAGAAUAAGCACCGGCUAACUACGUGCCAGCAGCCGCCGUAACAC
rnacentral:rRNA from 1 species